rnacentral:rRNA from 1 species
GACGAACGCUGGCGGCGUGCCUAAUACAUGCAAGUCGAACGCAGUGGGGACGGGUGAGUAACACGUGGGUAACCUCCCAUCAGAGGGGAUAACACUUGGAAACAGGUGCUAAACCGAUACUGAUGGAUGGACCCGCGGUGCAUUAGCUAGUUGGUGAGGUAACGGCUCACCAAGGCCACGAUGCAUAGCCGAGGUGAGGGGGGUAUCGGCCGCAAUGGGACUGAGACACGGCCCAGACGCCGACGGGAGGCAGCAGGAGGGAAUCUUCGGCAAUUGGGGGAACCCUGAACGAGCAACGCCGCGGGAGUGAAGAAGGUUUUCGGAUCGUAAAGCUCUGUUGUUAAGGAAGCGGUACUUAACCAGAAAGGGACGGCUAACUACGUGCCAGCAGCCGCGGUAAUAC